rnacentral:tRNA from 8 species
GCGGAAGUGGUGAAAUUGGUAUACACGCUACUUUGAGGGGGUAGUGCCCGUUAGGGCGUAGGGGUUCAAGUCCCCUCUUCCGCACCA